UUAAGUUCAGCGGGUAAUCCUACCUGAUUUGAGGUCAAACAGUUCAAAUUGUCUAGUAAUCCUAGACUGUUUGAAAGCGACUACACUUAACAUCCCUACUUAUACGGCGUAGAUAAUUAUCACACCAAAGUGGGGAACAGUAACCACUAAUGUUUUUAAGAGGAGCAAACUAAUCAAAGCCUGCAAAACCUCCACAUCCA
rnacentral:misc_RNA from 1 species